UACGAAGGGGGCUAGCGUUGUUCGGAAUUACUGGGCGUAAAGCGCGUGUAGGCGGGUCUUUUAAGUCAGGGGUGAAAUGCCAAGGCUCAACCUUGGAACUGCCUUUGAUACUGGAGAUCUUGAGUCCGGGAGAGGUGAGUGGAAUUGCGAGUGUAGAGGUGAAAUUCGUAGAUAUUCGCAAGAACACCAGUGGCGAAGGCGGCUCACUGGCCCGGAACUGACGCUGAGACGCGAAAGCGUGGGGGAGCAAACAGG
rnacentral:rRNA from 1 species